CGUAGGAGCAAGCGUUGUCCGGAAUCAUUGGGCGUAAAGCGCGCGUAGGCGGCCUCAUAAGUCCGUUGUGAAAGUCAAGGCUCAACCUUUGAAAGCCGAUGGAUACUGUGAGGCUAGAGUUCGGAAGAGGCGAGUGGAAUUCCUGGUGUAGCGGUGGAAUGCGCAGAUAUCAGGAGGAACACCAAUAGCGAAGGCAGCUCGCUGGGACGAUACUGACGCUAAAGGCGCGAAAGCGUGGGGAGCGAACAGGAUU
rnacentral:rRNA from 1 species